CAGACUACUAGCAGUUAACUGACAUGCCAGCUCCAGACUUCAAUUAAACUGACUGAAAGAUUAUGAUUUCAUCAUAUGAACAUCAGGCACAAUCCUUCCCGUUAGGGUUUAGUAUCAUACCAUCAUAACAUAUAUGAGAAGAACAUAACCCGUGUCAUGCCAACAACUGUUUUUAGAAUAAAUGUGUUUAGUUCCGAAGCAAAGACCUUAUCAGUGACUCAAUAUUAACGCC
rnacentral:lncRNA from 1 species